GUAUAUUAAUAUGCUUGAAGGCAUUAUAAGUAAAAAAUCCAGCAAAACAAAUAAGCAGAAUGCAAAUAUUUAAAUAUAAUUAAGUGGAAAAAAAGAUAAGGGAAGAUGCAAUUGUUGAGAUAAACAAAGAGACAAUAGGUUAAACUAGAAUCCAUUCAAUGAAUAGGGAAAGACAUUUAGAGGAGAGAAAAAGGAAGUUUAUAUGAGUCAAUAUUUUAGGUUGGACUAGACCGAAUUCGGAUC
rnacentral:lncRNA from 1 species